rfam:Yarrowia lipolytica strain CLIB122 chromosome C complete sequence.
UCCGAUAUAGUGUAGGGGCUAUCACAUCACGCUCUCAAGUUGAGAACCGUGGAGACCGGGGUUCGAUUCCCCGUAUCGGAG